UUGAAAGGGAAACGAUUGAAGUCAGUCGUACCGGCGGAUAAUCAGCCUUUCGGGUGCGAUUAUGUGGAACGUGGGGAGCUUAACCGCCUUCACGCCUGCAUAUUUGUGCACUUUGGGUGUACUUGUCCGUGUGGUAGGUUAACAUCAAUUUCGGUCAUCAUAAAAUGAUCGGGGGAAUGUAGCUUCGAUCUCGUAUCGAAGUGUUAUAGACUCCGGUAGAUGUGAUGGUAGGGAUUGAGGAUUGCAACGGAUACCCUUCGGGGCUACCCGCCUGGCCUCUGAAGGUUGCUCCGGUGCCGAAAGCUUGCUUACGGUUAUCGAUAGUGAUCGUCAAAAGGCUAGAACGGGUUAAAUUCGUUAAGGAUGUUGACGUA
rnacentral:rRNA from 1 species